rnacentral:rRNA from 1 species
CCAGCAUCCUAUGCUGGCUGUCCGGGUGUGUAAAAUACACCUGUUAGCAAGGGCCGGGCAAGACCGGUGCCAGCCGCCGCGGUAACACCGGCGGCCCGAGUGGUGAUCGUGAUUAUUGGGUCUAAAGGGUCCGUAGCCGGUUUGGUCAGUCCUCCGGGAAAUCUGACGGCUCAACCGUUAGGCUUUCGGGGGAUACUGCCAGACUUGGAACCGGGAGAGGUAAGAGGUACUACAGGGGUAGGAGUGAAAUCUUGUAAUCCCUGUGGGACCACCUGUGGCGAAGGCGUCUUACCAGAACGGGUUCGACGGUGAGGGACGAAAGCUGGGGGCACGAACCGGAUUAGAUACCCGGGUAGUCCCAGCCGUAAACGAUGCUCGCCAGGUGUCAGGCAUGGCGCGACCGUGUCUGGUGCCGCAGGGAAGCCGUGAAGCGAGCCACCUGGGAAGUACGGCCGCAAGGCUGAAACUUAAAGGAAUUGGCGGGGGAGCAC